rnacentral:rRNA from 1 species
AACAACAGGUAUGCCCUAGUAACGGCGUAGUGAAGCGGCAACAGCUCAAAUUUGAAAUCUGGCCCUCGGGUCCGAGUUGUAAUUUGUAGAGGAUGAUUUUGGUUAGGUACCUUCCGAGUUCCUUGGAACAGGACGCCUUAGAGGGUGAGAGCCCCGUACGGUUGGAUGCCGAGCCUCUGUAAAUCUCCUUCGACGAGUCGAGUAGUUUGGGAAUGCUGCUCUAAAUGGGAGGUAAAUUUCUUCUAAAGCUAAAUACCGGCCAGAGACCGAUAGCGCACAAGUAGAGUGAUCGAAAGAUGAAAAGCACUUUGAAAAGAGGGUUAAAUAGUACGUGAAAUUGUUGAAAGGGAAGGGCUUGUGACCAGACCUUUGCCUUGCGGAUCAUCCGGUGUUCUCACCGGUGCACUCCGCUUGGUUGAGGCCAGCAUCAGUUUCGGCGGCGGGAUAAAGACUUCAGGAACGUGACUCCCCCGGGAGUGUUAUAGCCUGCUGUGUAAUACCGCCGCUGGGACUGAGGACCGCGCUUCGGCUAGGAUGCUGGCAUAAUGGUCAUCAGCCACCCGUCUUGAAACACGGACCAAGGAGUCGAACAUUUAUGCGAGUUUUUGGGUGUUAAACCCUCAAGCGUAAUGAAAGUGAACGGAGGUGAGAGCCCUUACGGGUGCAUCAUCGACCGAUCCUGAUGUCUUCGGAUGGAUUUGAGUAAGAGCAUAACUGUUCGGACCCGAAAGAUGGUGAACUAUGCGUGGAUAGGGUGAAGCCAGAGGAAACUCUGGUGGAGGCUCGCAGCGGUUCUGACGUGCAAAUCGAUCGUCAAAUCUGCGCAUGGGGCGAAAGACUAAUCGAC